GAUGAACGAGGGAGGAGGGAGGAAAAGAGAAAAGUCGAACGACAAGGCCCAAGCUUGCUUAGGUACUCGAGUGGCGAACGGGUGAGUAACACGUGGGUGAUCUGCCCUGCACUUCGGGAUAAGCCUGGGAAACUGGGUCUAAUACCGGAUAGGACCACAUUUUGGAUGGUGUGGUGGAAAGUUUUUCGGUGUGGGAUGAGCUCGCGGCCUAUCAGCUUGUUGGUGGGGUAAUGGCCUACCAAGGCGUCGCAGGGGCGCGGGCCUGAGAGGGUGUACGGCCACAUUGGGACUGAUCGACGGCCCAGACUCCUACGGGAGGCAGCAGUGGGGAAUAUUGCACAAUGGGCGCAAGCCUGAUGCAGCGACGCCGCGUGGGGGGUCCCUCCCUUGUUGUUGUAAACUCCUUUCGCGUGGGACUAAGCGCAAGUGACGGUACCUGGAGACGAAGACCCCCCUCCCUACGUU
rnacentral:rRNA from 1 species